rnacentral:rRNA from 1 species
GAUGAACGCUGGCGGCGUGCCUAAUACAUGCAAGUCGAGCGAACAGACGAGGAGCUUGCUCCUCUGACGUUAGCGGCGGACGGGUGAGUAACACGUGGAUAACCUACCUAUAAGACUGGGAUAACUUCGGGAAACCGGAGCUAAUACCGGAUAACAUGUUGAACCGCAUGGUUCAACAGUGAAAGACGGUUUUGCUGUCACUUAUAGAUGGAUCCGCGCCGCAUUAGCUAGUUGGUAAGGUAACGGCUUACCAAGGCAACGAUGCGUAGCCGACCUGAGAGGGUGAUCGUCCACACUGCAACUGAGACACGGUCCAGACUCCUACGGGAGGCAGAAGUAGGGAAUCUUCCGCAAUGGGCGAAAGCCUGACGGAGCAACGCCGCGUGAGUGAAGUAGGUCUUCGGAUCGUAAAACUCUGUUAUUAGGGAGGAACAAAUGUGUAAGUAACUAUGCACGUCUUGACGGUACCUAAUCAGAAAGCCACGGCUAACUACGUG